ensembl:lncRNA uncharacterized LOC114445509
GGCAGCAAACAUGCACAAAGUCAGCUGUAGAGGGAGGGUGUGUACCUCCAACCAUAAACCACAGAAAGACACUUUAAAUACCCCUGUGCCUGCACACAGCUCACUCUAUGACACCAUCAUGGGAUGCUCAGGGCUGCUGAUUCUGGUUCUCGUCCUAAAUGUUGCUCAUGGCUUGGAAGUUCUGGAUGUGGAUGAAAAGUCAGUGUUAAACAUCACUGCAGUCCUGGGAGAGGACAUGUACCUGAGCUGCAGAUACCAGGGUGAGAGUCAGAUCCUGAGUGCUGAGUGGCAACGUCGCAUUGGUGCCAAAAGUAAAAGAUUGGUGGGAUAUUUAAAUGGCAAACCAUUCAGCCAUGAAGGCUUCUCAAACCUCCAGUCUCUCACCAACCUCACAGUUCAGAAAAAGGUGCGCAGUGUGGAUGUAGAGGGAGAAUACAUCUGUGAGUUUACAACAGAGGAGUUUGGUAUUCAAGGCAGUGUCUUCGUCACUGUAGAAGCUCGACCUGAUAUCCAGAUCCAGGUGAAUGCAGACACCGUAAAUGGCACUCACUACCAGUCUGUAUCCUGCUCAGCCAUCGGCGGCAAGCCCUCACCUCAGAUCAGCUGGUUGAUCAACAACCUUCCACCUUCAGAUGACCUUUUCACCGUCGAUAUGAACAACACUCUUCACUCUGACCGCACCUCCACUCUGAUCAGCACCCUCAGUUUUCCCACCCACCUGCAGGACGAGGACAGCGUGACCUGUGUGGUCCGACACCCGACCCUCCCAAACCGCACGCUCACUACAGCGAGGGUGCAAACCUAUACAAAGCCAAAUGUGACCAUUAAAGCAGAGAUGAUACAACAAGAAGGAAAUGAUUUCUGGGUGGUCUCGUGCAUUUCGUCUGGAGGGAGACCUGACACCGUCAUGUCUUUGGCUUUGAGCACGACUGAGGAUCUGCACAGAGAGAACAACACAAACUCAGAUGUGCAGGAACUCUCAGUUCGGUUCCUAGUGACAGAGUAUGAGGGCCACAAUGUCACCUGUGUGUUUGACCAUCCAAAAUUUACACACACAGAGUCACGAGUCCUAACACUGCCGACUUUGUUUUUGUCUUCAGCUCAGCUGGACUCAGAGUUAGGAAACGACUUUCCAGCUACUGAAUUUUUGGAACUACAGGAGGGGCAGAGUGACGCCGUUAUCAGCCUCAAGGUCACGGGGAACGUGCCACAUUACAAUGUUAUCUGCAAAAAAGACAGAGGUCCUUUGCCCGAUGGCGUGGAGCUGGUUAACAGAAGCCUCACGGUUCAGGGUCUGGUGGCGCAUCAGCACGCUGGUCUGUAUGAAUGUGUCUUCUCUUACCAACAUCUCCAAGCGACACAGCAGAUUAAUGUCACAGUCAAACCUCGAGUCAUGCAGCUCGUCCCUCCCACUAUACGAGUUGAUUUGCGGACUGAAGAUGGACGCAGUGUGAUUGAGUGCUCAGCAGCUGAUGCUGUUCCUGCAGCCAACGUGUCCUGGCUUCCAGCAGAGGGUGUGUCUGGAGACUUUUGGUUCAAUUCCACUUCUCAUAAUGGAAGCCACUCCGUUCGGGGAGUCUUACUCCUCCCUGCCUGCUCGCCUUGGGAGCUCACUGCAGAAUGUGUGAUAAAUCACCCAGCAUUUGAGGAACCAGAGAACAGAAGCAUAACACUCCCUCUCUGCGCUCCUCCUGACAUCACCCUCAACGCAAGCACUGAGUGGAAAGACGGCCGCAUGUACACAAAGGUGGACUGCUCUGUGGACAGUGUUGCCCCUACAGCAGCCAUCAGCUGGCAUGUUGGAAACACUGACAGCAACAUCAGUUAUCACACACAGAGGGAAGCCCAGGCGGACGGGCCGGUGUCGGCCCGCAGCUCGGUGCACUUCCUGUCCUCUCUGUAUGCUGGUCAGAAUUUGACAUGCACGGUGAAACAUCCGAGCCUGAAGGCACCAGAGAAAAGAACAAUACACAUUCCUGUGCACAAAGCCCCUCAGCUGAGUGUGUCUGUGGUGCGACAGCAAGGCUCUACUCUCUGGCUGGCAGUGUGUGACUGCAGAGGGGAGGGUGUUGGAACAAACCUUGCAUGGCUCCUUCCUGAAAAUGCCAAAAGUCAAACGUCCCUGCACUCAGAAUACGAAGGGCACAUACUGAAAGCCCGGCUGACUUAUAAGUUUCCACUUGAACUCCACGAGGGGCAGAACCUGACCUGUCUGUACCAGUUUGAACAUGGGAUCAAAGAGCAGAGGACUGUUCACAUCCCCAGAUACUAUAUCUCCUCUGUGACCAUCCUGAACCAUACGACUCCUCUGCAGAGCCGCUACACCGAUCAGCCCGUCACAUACAGACUGUCUCUCCAUGACAAUCAUCAUCAUCAGAAAAUACUGCUGCGAGUUGAAGGCAACGUGCCAGACUACAGGCUCAACUGUCAAAGGAGUGACGGCUCAUUUGCACAAAUGGACGGAGCUGCGAUGAUCCUCCAGGAUGGAGGCCUGUACACCUGCUGGGCAUCUUUCUAUCACCACAGAGCCACAGUCAGCAUUCAUGUGGAGGUGAUGACUGAGGAGGAACAGUUUGCUCUGGUUGCCAUGAUCUGCGUCUCUUCAGCCUUGGCUGUCUUUCUGAUCCUGGUCGUCCUCCUCUGCGUGUGCUGGUGAGUUCCACAGGUGACAGGUUGCAGCUCGGCAGGUGAUGUGUUGACAAGCAAACGAGGGCAUCGCUGCCAGCAACACCUAAUGCAAGACAAACAGGAUGUGUGGAUCGUUAACCCAACUCACCAAAACCUCAGUUUCGUGCACUUAUUUUACAAACAGGAAGGACUGUGGCUGAAGCAGACAGGUGCCUGUG